rnacentral:tRNA from 1 species
AGCAGAGUGGUGCAGCGGAAGUGUGCAGGGCCCAUAACCCAGAGGUCAAUGGUUUGAAACCAUCUUCUGCUA